rnacentral:RNase_P_RNA from 1 species
AAAAGAAAACGGAUAAUUGCCCUGAUCCGCCAACUGGCGGAGAAGGGAGGAAAGUCCGGACACCGGUCCGCCAACAUCUGCAAAGUUGUGGCGGACAAGCGUACGGGUUAACGACCCGCCGCGGAAUUAAUAACGCGAGAGGUGCGAACAGAGACGCUAUGGCUCGAAAGAGCUAAAGCUCCAAUGAAAAUUGGAUGAUGCCGAUGGCAACAUCGGAUUGAAACGGCUAAAUCCUUACUGGGUGCAAGUUCGUUAGAACGCCAGAGCUAUCGAGUAAUCGAUGGCCCAGAGAGAUAAUUAUCCCCGCCAACAUCUGCAAAGUUGUAGCGGGACAGAAUCCGGCUUAUAGUUUUCUUUCCGAG